UAGAAUUACGAGUGUAAUGAAAGUGAGUAGGAGUUGAGAGGGCGAGUAACGAAGAGUAUGGGUAGUUAGUCGUUAAGACGAGACGAGACGAGACGAAACGAGAUAUUUAACGACUAAAUAUCUAACCUACCCUACCCCUAACCACCCCCCAACCGCCCAAACCCCUUUCCCCUCACUUACUUACGGCUGUUAGCAGCCAACACCCCUCACUUUUAAUUUUUAAUUAUCUCACACACACUAAACACACACACAACUCACGCAUAUCUCCAUUGUUGAGGAGUUGGAGCUUUUGAGCUCCGUUUUGAGCGAGAAGACGAGCCCCGAUCAUCUUUUCGAACACGUAUCUAAGUAGGUCCUUUUGGGAAGUAACGACUUGAGGGAGAGAGUGACGUUACUCAUUGAUACAGAGACACAACGAGGUUGAGCUGAUGUGAUGAUGGUGCUGCAAUGAGCGGAGUCUCCAGGGUUGUUAAUAAAUAGUUAACCUGUCUAGAAUAUGUCUUCAUACAUAUGUCUAGCUACUUUCCGCUGCAAGAUGUUGUUGAUGUUAUAGUAUGUUAUGUCAUACUUUGAGUCUUAAGAGAAUGGUUUCAUAUGAUGUAUAACUUGAUUAAUGAUAUUAAUUAAGUUUUAUGUUGUCUUUCA